rnacentral:lncRNA from 1 species
AAAAGUGAAGUGUCAUAUAUGUGUAGGCACUUGACCUCCUAGUAAGAGGCUUUUCGGGUAAGAUAGGAUAUGCUUGAGCCUGAGAACAAAACAGUUCUCACAACCACUUAGGGAAGGAAAGGUGAAGCGCCAUAUAUGUGUGGGCACUGAACUUCCUAGCAAGAGGUCUUUUGGUCUAGUGAGCCCUGAAUGAUGCAAGAAGGGGCAAGAUCAAUGAGCAAUCCCAC